rnacentral:misc_RNA from 1 species
AAGUCGUAACAAGGUAACCGUAGGUGAACCUGCGGUUGGAUCAUUAAUUAUCCCUGGUAGGGGGUCAUAGCACAGCUUGUGUUGUACGCAGUAAUAGUAGUGCCUCGCGGGCUACUAUUUCUGCGUAGGCCGUUGUAAGGGUGCCUGGUUUGAGAUUACUCGCCGAGGGGCCGGGACGUCCGAGAGCCCCCCUUUACAAAACGCUGUGCAUCUAUGUGCCCCUCGACCUUCAACAUUAUGUGAACCGAACUGUCUCUGGCGGGGGGGUAGUAAUUAAAACCUACUACUUGUCAGUAAAUGCGUGUGCAUUUGCCGUGGACACCCCGUCAACAGGUCUUACACCUUUGCUUUCUUUUGAUGUCUGACAUAACAUGUAUAAAUAUACAAAACAACUUUUGGCAACGGAUCUCUUGGCUCUC